rnacentral:rRNA from 1 species
GUGCCAGCAGCCGCGGUAAGACAGAGGUGCCAAGCGUUAGGCGGAAUCACUGGGCUUAAAGCGUGUGUAGGCGGAUUUCUAAGUAUCUUGUGAAAUCCCAUGGCUCAACCAUGGAACUGCUUGAUAUACUGGAUGUCUUGAGCCACUUAGGGGUUACCGGAACAAAUGGUGGAGCGGUGAAACGCGUAGAUAUCAUUUGGAACGCCAAUGGUGAAAACAGGUAACUGGGAGUGUGCUGACGCUGAGACACGAAAGCUAGGGGAGCAAACGGGAUUAGAUACCCCCGUAGUCC